AAAAGAGGGGGCGUGUCUCGAUAUAAGGAUGACAAACUCCGGGUCGGAUAUCAUUACUAUUCUUAAGGAACAGAAGAUAGGACUGACUGUUGGAGUGUCUCUCUUGCUCUUCGUGAGCUAUCUAUUUAUGGCAUACAUCAUCUAUAAACCAUGGAAAGGCCCCUCCCGGAGUCCACCCCGCAGUCCGGUGCUAUGACAAUGAGCGUGAACUUUCAUCCUGUACAGUCGAUUCAUUAUUUUAAUCGUAUUUCUAUGUCUCAUUCAAUUCCAACCCCUUGUACUUUAUUUGUUGUGUGUAUUUGUGAGCAUAUCAAUGCACAAUAAAAACUUUUU
rnacentral:sRNA from 1 species